GCUGCCCCGAGAUCACAGCACUGCGCCGGGAGGGUGACCCGGCAGAUCGCACUGAUGCACCAAGCCAAGGGGGCGGGGGGUGACACCAGUCCCGGGACUCUCUCUGCAGAGUCCAGCGGGCAGAGAUGGGCAGCUGCACCCGCGGCCCGCAGCUCUCGGCGGAGCAGCCUCCCCCGGCCCGCGCUGCCGUUACCUUGGUUCUCCUCGUCCAGGUCCUGAUUUUGUAACUUGUUCCAUGCAGCUGCCAGGAGCACCACCAGCUUUUUUGCUGCCGUAGGCGGCGGAAGGUCCCGCGCAGACAGAGGCAGCGGAAGAUCCAGAUCCUGCGGUCGCCGCCCCCCAAAUGUUAGUUCCCUAGGCGACCGCCUAGGUUGCCUAAUGGGUUACGCCAGCCCUGGCAGUUGGAGUUCCAGCCACAUGGAACAAGUUGAAGGUUAUGACUAUGAGAAUGUAAGCUCUGUAGGCACAAACCAUCUUGUACAGUGCCAAGCACUUGCUGGCACUUUAUAAAUGAAUAAUUACAAUCAAAUCACUAUAGAUAGCUGUUUUUGAAGUGGUUUCUAACCACAUCUCUCUAGGUAGAUAGAGAAAAAGGCUGAGCUACCUUCCUUGAUUCUAUUGCAAAUUCAUAAUUUUAUAGAUUUUAAGACCAGAAAUGACCAUUAUGAUCAUUUAGUCUGUCCUCCUAUAUAAAUAACACUGCCCAGAGAAUUUGCAUCAAGCCCAUAUCUUUGCUAGAGCGUAUCUUUUUAGAUCUGAUCAGUAAUGCCCCUGCUGGCUGCUUUCUGAUGAAAGCAAAAUUCUGUAAAAUAGUGCAGUGGUUUUCCAUCUUUUUUUAUGUGUACCCUUAAAAGGUUUCAAAUGGAGGUGCGGACCCCUUUGGAAAUCUUAGACUUAUAUCUUUAUGAUAUAACAAUCUUUAAGAUUUAUUUUUCAAUGAUUUGUGUAAAGUUAACAAAUAACAAUUUAAUUAUUAACAAGAUAAACUAA